rnacentral:rRNA from 1 species
UCCGGUCGAACCUGCCGGACCCCACUGCUAUCGGGGUGGGACUAAGACAUGGAAGAAGUGCGCCUCCAAGCCACGGUGGAGGCGCGGCGCACAGCUCAGUAACACGUGGCUAACCUACCCUUGGGAUAGGGACAACCCCGGGAAACUGGGGCUAAUCCCCGAUAGGUGAGGACUCCUGGAAUGGGUCCUCGCUGAAAGGGCGUCUAGACCAUGCUUCUAGACGCUGCCCAAGGAUGGGGCCGCGGCCGAUCAGGUUGUUGGUGAGGUAACGGCUCACCAAGCCUAAGACCGGUACGGGCCGUGAGAGCGGGAGCCCGGAGAUGGACACUGAGACAAGGGUCCAGGCCCUACGGGGCGCAGCAGUCGCGAAACCUCCGCAAUACGCGAAAGCGUGACGGGGCCACCCCGAGUGCCGUCCGCUGAGGACGGCUUUUCCCCAGUGUAGGCAGCUGGGGGAAUAAGGGGAGGGCAAGUCGGGUGUCAGCCGCCGCGGUAAUACCCGCUCCCCGAGUGGUGGGGACGCUUAUUGGGCCUAAAGCAUCCGUAGCCGGCUGGACAAGUCCCCUGUUAAAUCCAGCGAUUUAAUCGCUGGACUGCGGGGGAUACUGUCCAGCUAGGGGGCGGGAGAGGCCGGCGGUAUUCCCGGGGUAGGGGUGAAAUCUUAUAAUCCCGGGAGGACCACCAGUGGCGAAGGCUGCCGGCUGGAACGCGCCCGACGGUGAGGGAUGAAAGCUGGGGGAGCGAACCGGAUUAGAUACCCGGGUAGUCCCAGCUGUAAACGAUGCGGGCUAGGUGUUGGCACGGCUACAAGCCGUGUCAGUGCCGCAGGGAAGCCGUUAAGCCCGCCGCCUGGGGAGUACGGCCGCAAGGCUGAAACUUAAAGGAAUUGGCGGGGGAGCACCACAAGGGGUUUUUCUUGCGGUUUAAUUGGAGUCAACGCCGGG